rnacentral:rRNA from 1 species
UACGUAGGGGCCUAGCGUUGUCCGGAUUUAUUGGGCGUAAAGAGCUCGUAGGCGGUUUGGUAAGUCGGGUGUGAAAUCUCCACGCUCAACGUGGAGGGGCCACCCGAUACUGCCAUGACUGGAGUCCGGUAGGGGAGUGUGGAAUUCCCGGUGUAGCGGUGAAAUGCGCAGAUAUCGGGAGGAACACCAGUAGCGAAGGCGGCUCACUGGCCCGAUACUGACGCUGAGGCACGAAAGCGUGGGGAGCAAACAGG